GAGAUGGUGGUGCCGAAUUCUUUUAGAGAACAUGUCAAAUGAAGGAAUGACUAGCUGUAAUGCACCAGAAGAGGCAAGUGAGCAGGAUGAGUGCAUGAAGAAGGAACCUGCCAGGAAAGUUCAGCGUGUUGAACGUGUGACUGAUGAAGGAGAUAGAAUGGGCCACGUCUCCUUUGACCAGGUGUGUGGGUGUGGAUGUGUGG